rnacentral:lncRNA from 1 species
GUCAGAGCUGGGAGCCAGAAUUAGUGGGGCCUUUUAGGCCACCAUAAGGAUUUUGGAUUUUACUCUAAGAUAGGAAAUCAUUGAAGGACUGAUUUGACCGAAUCUCUUUAGCUGCUUUGUAGAAAAUAAACACAAGGGUAAAAGUGGAAACGGGAAGAUUGAUUAGGGGGCUAUUAUGAUCCUUCUGGCAGUGUGGUUGACAAUGGUCCAGGUGAGGCAAGGAGUGAGGGAGUGGCAAGCUGCCGAAUACAUUUUGAAGGCCAAAAUGACAGAAUUUGCAGACAAAUUUGUUUUGGAGUACAAGAGAACAAAAGGAAUCAAAGACGACGCCAGGAUUUUUGGCCUGAGCAACUAAAAGAUGGACUUGCCCUUUACAGAGAAGAGGAAGAGGAAGACUGGAGCAGUUUUUCCUCCUAGGAGGAAGGAGCAGCCAGAAAAGCAGAAUGAGAAGGAACAAUCUGUGAGGCUGGAGGAGACCCCAGAGCAAGUGUACUUUGUACCCUGGAGGCCAACGGGAAAAAAGUGUUUUAAGAAAGAGUCAUCAUUUGUGUCAAACGCUGGCAGGAAAAGAUAACGACAGACAACUGACCAUUGAAUUUGAUCAUGUGAAGCCAGUUUCUUUGGAAUGCUGGAGACAAAGCCAUUCUGAAAAGAAUGGAAGAAAGAAAGUGAGACAAGAAUAGACAACCCUUUUGAGGAGUUUCUCUGCCAAGCUAUUGAUCUUCCUGAAGACCUCAACUGAUUACAAGGAGAAACAUUCUGAAAGACUUCCUGCUCGCUCCCUGGCGUGUGCCAGAAAUGGUAAAUGUGGAACUCUGUCAGUGACUCUUUCUGGAGCUGUAACUCUUGGACGGUUGGACACCCCUUUGCUCUGAGGCCUUGUGCCUCAUACACAAUUCAGG